AAAUUGAAGAGUUUGAUCAUGGCUCAGAUUGAACGCUGGCGGCAGGCCUAACACAUGCAAGUCGAACGGUAACAGGAAACAGCUUGCUGUUUCGCUGACGAGUGGCGGACGGGUGAGUAAUGUCUGGGAAACUGCCUGAUGGAGGGGGAUAACUACUGGAAACGGUAGCUAAUACCGCAUAACGUCGUAAGACCAAAGAGGGGGACCUUCGGGCCUCUUGCCAUCGGAUGUGCCCAGAUGGGAUUAGCUUGUUGGUGGGGUAACGGCUCACC
rnacentral:rRNA from 1 species